GGUUUCGUUUGGUUAAGUUCGCCGUAUUUUCUGUAGUCAACCCAAGCUAGUUUCAUUGCCGUUUUCUUUUGUUAUAUCUGCCGCCGUAGACUCAUUUUAACUCCUGUAAACUCCUGUAUGUUCCCACUGUGUUGAAGUGAUUUCCCCGGUAACAAUUUUUCACCUGCUCCUCGCUGAGUGCAAAUAAACUACCGGGUCGAUAAAAUACAAUUUGUCCACGACUUUUAUUGUUAUCAUCAACACGGUGACACCAGGAUUUUAGAACAAACUUACCUCAUCGUGAUGAAGUUACAAAAUUAAUGUUUGUAAAAUAUGUAUAUAAACAAGAGCAUUGAAACCCAAAAUCCCACUUUUUUUUGUUUCCACUGUUUUUAAACGACGAUUGACACUUGACCUUUUAAUUGAUUUAAAUUAAUAAUAAAUGGGUAGGGAAAGCUACUGCGUCUAGAGCACUUAAUAUUAUUAAGUACUUUUUUUUUAUUAAUGUUCGGAACAACAUUAAAUAUAAUCUUCUCAGCCGUUUCUCAGCCAUCUGAGAAGAGUCAUUCAUAAUUUGUAUUUGAAUAUAAUUUAGAGACUUUUGAAUUUUACAAGUUGGGCUUGUUCUGAAUAAGCAGAAUACUUUGUUUUGGUAUAAGUUUUGUUUCUGGCCAGUGUAAAUAAAUACAGGGUCGGCCCAAUGUGUAUAGGGGUUGCGAACAACAUUUGUAAGUGGGGUCCAGUGGAAUGGGUGGCAUAAAAAAGCUCUCUUUACCUUUUUAUGAAACUCAGCCAUGGUUCACAUCCCGUAUAGGCUGAUUGAUUUUGGCAUCAGACCUAGUGAGGAUUCUCUAUCUGUGUUUGUCUAUUGUACACGUUUUGAUAUCAACAUGAACUAGAAAAUAAACUUUGAACUUCAGCUAUUAACAUUCACUCUGUAGAUUCAUUCACAAUGACCCACUGUCAUCCGAGUAUUCAGACGCUUGUGAUUAUCAGCUUUUUACUUUUUCAAUAAUAUGAUAAUUAUAUCCAUCAAUACUUCAUCGAUGUAAUUAUUAGACUCGUUGAGAUACGGCGGCCACUUCAGGAGUGCAAUGUUUGGUUCGAGCGUAGACAAACACAUUUACCGAAACCAAAAAGUGUCUCAAUGUGUCCACUAAACAUCAAAUAGACUUAUUGAUGUCUCGGUUUACCUUGUUUACCAUAAGGGAGAGGACAAACGUUGCUAAGCCAUAAAUGUGACAAUGGGAGACUUAUUCAACUGCCAUUGAGAGCACUAUAACAGUUUGAUAUACAUACAAAUUCGGCGAUAAUGUAUUUUGACUCCCUCGGUCGUUCCCCCAAUCCUCCAUUUCUUAGAUAGUUCUUUGCUUUGUAUUUUCCCAUUGCAAAGUUAAUUUGAUGUCUGUACACAAUUAGACCUGGUUUUUUAUUUUGUAAUACGAAUUUAAUUUGUUGAGACAAUAAAGUUCCAGUUAAAAUGUCAACAAGAUUUCUUCUUUUUUGGUCUUUAUUUAUUAGUUUCUUUACAUUAUUCCCUUCUCCCCUUAUGCUUUGUUGUCUGCUCCUCAAAUAAAAACAAAUUAAUAUUUGAAUAACUAUUUCACUCAUUUACGUUUGCU